CGCGCAUCCCCAUCGCCUCCCAUAAGGAUACAACCCAUCGUCAUUGCUCAGAUUACCUAUACCGAGACCUGGCCAAGUUCUGGGCAUCGUGGGACGAAAUGGCAUUGGGAAAUCCACUGCCAUCCAACUUUUAUCUGGGAGGAUCAAACCUAACUUGGGACGCUUUGAUGCAUCCAUCAAGCCCCAGCACAUCAAUCGCAUCCCUAACCUUCUUCAAGGCAAUCGCAAGCCUAAAGUAAUCCAAGGCAAAAUUGGCGCUAAAGUUAUUCUACUUUACCGCAACGUUGGCCAAUUUCUUACUCAGGCAGAUGAGAGAAAUAUGAACAGGAACUUGCAGCUGACCUUGACUUGAUUCAUGUUAUGGACCGUAAUGUGGGAAAUUUAUCGGGUGGAGAGCUUCAGAAGUUUGCAAUACUCUACGUAAUGCAGAUAUCUAUUUGUUUGAUGAACCAUCGGGCUAUCUUGAU